AACGAACGCUGGUGGAGUGCCUUAUACAUGCAAGUCGAGCGAGGUUUCGAACCGAGCGGCGAACGGGUGAGUAACGCGUGAAUAACCUGCCCCACAGUGGGGGAUAACCCUUCUAACGGAGGGCUAAUACCGCAUAUUGAACGAGGCUUCCUGGCCUUGUCUCGAAAGAUUUAUCGCUGUGGGAUGGAUUCGCGUAGGAUUAGCUAGUUGGCGGGGUAACGCCCACAAGGCAACGAUCCUUAGCCGGCCUGAGAGGGUGACCGGCCACAUUGGGACUGAGAUACGGCCCAGACUCCUACGGGAGGCAGCAGUAGGGAAUAUUGCGCAAUGGACGAAAGUCUGACCCAGCCAUGCCGCGUGAAGGAUGAAGGUCCUCUGGAUUGUAAACUUCUUUUUUCUGGGGAGAAAUGCAUCUUUUCUAAGGUGUUUGACGGUACCAGAAGAAUAAGCACCGGCUAACUCCGUG
rnacentral:rRNA from 1 species